rnacentral:rRNA from 1 species
AUGGCUACAGAACGAACGCUGGCGGCAAGGCUUAACACAUGCAAGUCGAACGGGUGUAGCAAUACAUCAGUGGCAGACGGGUGAGUAACACGUGGGAACCUUCCUAGAGGUACGGAACAACUCAGGGAAACUUGAGCUAAUACCGUAUACGCUCUUGCGAGGAAAGAUUUAUCGCCUUUAGACGGGCCCGCGUCGGAUUAGCUAGCUGGUGGGGUAAACGGCCUACCAAGGCGACGAUCCGUAGCUGAUCUGAGAGGAUGAUCAGCCACACUGGGACUGAGACACGGCCCAGACUCCUACGGGAGGCAGCAGUGGGGAAUCUUGGACAAUGGGCGCAAGCCUGAUCCAGCCAUGCCGCGUGAGUGAAGAAGACCUUCGGGUUGUAAAGCUCUUUUGCCAGGGACGAUAAUGACGGUACCUGGAGAAUAAGCCCCGGCAAACUUCGUG